GGACACAUCUCUGGAGAAUCCCACUAAAAGGGUGCCGAAGGUGCACGGGGAAGCAACGCCCCUUAUCUCUCAGGCCAAAGGACAGAGCUUUAAGC
rfam:Phascolarctobacterium sp. CAG:266 genomic scaffold, scf268